AUUUGCAAGUGAAUGAACUAAAAUUUAGAUUAACAAGAAGUUUUUAAAGUCGAUACUUCUUUGAAAUCAAUGUCAACUUAAAACACCUAAUACAAUAUAUUCGUUACAUUAGUAGCUUUAGUUACUUUAACCCGUAAACUGUUCGAACUUUUUCUGUAUCGGAGGUCCAUAUAUUAUGGACAACUCCUGGCUUCUAACCUUUAUUGUCGGCAUUAUUGUGGGUUACUUGAUAGGCAAAAACCAAUAAAAAGAAGCCUAACUCGGCUUUGCCUUUCAAGUCAUUUAACCGAAAUGGAGGUAGAUCAUCUGGUCACAUUUGUAGUUGGAUGUUUUCUGGGAUACGUGUUUGCCAGAAAUGCCUAGAAGAAGAUGAAUCAAUAAAGAGUGAAAGGAUAUGAAUUCAUUAAAAUACACCUUGAACUCAUUGUACUAGUAUCCCAAUUCCUGCCAACUAGAACCUUAAAUUUCAAAAUUGUGGAGACUACUUAUCUUCCGGGCUCAAGAGACGCAAAUCCUUUCAUAUCUUUAAAUUUGAAGAAGCAAAAUGACUCACGUGAUCUCUUUUGUCUUGGGCGUGAUUAUUGGAAUGAUGACCUGCCGAAGGUGCUAACUGCUUAAUAUGUUAUCUAAAUUAAAUAUUAAAAUGACUAAAAAAUCAUAAAAAUAUAAAAUAAAAAAACAAAAAGCUAAACAUUUA